UUGCGUGCAUAUGAUACGCCAAUCCUUCCCAUUAAUUUCGGUGGAGAGCAGAUGCGUCCGAAUAACACGCAUCAUCUUCAGCGGCAGUGACGUCACUAGCGAGGCUCGUUCAGUUCACCUGAUGCGCGUACACCUUCAAACAGUUACGUCGGAUUACAUACUCCACAACAACCUGUAAUCCAGCAGAUCUUUAAAGAAGCCAUCUCUUGUAAAAUCUCUCUCUCUCUCUCUCUCUCUCUCUCUCUCUCUCUCUCUCUCUCUCUCUCUCUCGCUCUGCUAGAAUUAACAGGGAACUUCAACUCCACGCUCCCAAUGCUGAUAUUGAAGAAGCUGUCAAGGGGGCUGAACAAGUCCUUCAAAGGAUCAACCCUUCACAGGAAGGCCUGUCAUGAGAUUUGAAUUUGACCAUCUUGUGCAUUUAUGAAGAAGACCAAAAGCUGCGAAGGCAAACACUUCCAAUGCUGAAGACCAGAAACGCAAAGAAAAUCAGUCAAACCAGUCCUAAAGAAAUGAGGAAUGAACAUGGACUUCUUGUGCCCCAAAAGAAAAGACAGAAAGCUCCUAAAAUGAGCAAAUAAGCUGUGCAUCAUCUCUGUGAUUUGGGAAGGAAAUGACUGAAUAUGAUGAAGCCAAUUGAUGAAGAUAUCAAUUGAAUGGCCACCGAGUGCAUCACUGCUACCUGAACCCAUCAGUUAUCUUCUGUGAAGACUGCAUUCACAAACCGCUCUACUGCGACAGCUCAGAUGUUACGGCCUGUAAAAGUAAACAUCACAGCUAAACAACGAGAGCUAGUUGUGGUGGGAUUCUUUUGGCCAAUAUCCCCAACAAGAAUCAAUGACAUCUAGACCAGGUGGAGUGUGAGGAGGACCGUCAGAGACUCCAGCCAGCCGAGCCAUGGAUUGCUCUCACUGUUACCAUCAGGCAGACGUUAUCACAGAACCUACACCAGCAGACAGUGAGACAAGUUCCUUUCAUAGGCAAUCAGACUGAACUGAACUCAUACCAGUAAAACCAUACACACCCCACCAACCUCAUAUGCCCUGCACUCUUAUCAGUUAUGCUGACUGGACUCAAUAUUAUUAUGCACCCUGACAUUCUGUUUGCACUAAUUCAUACCGUGCUUUACUGCAGAGAUGUAUGUGUACUGUGAUUAUUAUUGUUUUCAAUUCAUGCUCUUUGUAUAGCAUAAUUUUUAACAUAUAUUGUUAUCUACCUGAAUUGAGUCCCUUAUAUAUGUGUGUUGCAUAUAUAUAUAUAUAUAUAUUCAGAAUUUGUAUUUCAUAUAUAUUCAUGAAUUAAUUCAUUUGUCAUCCAUACUGUCACGCUGCAGUCUGCACCCAAGACUUUCAUCACCUGUAUACUUGUGUUCAUUGUAUUUUGAC